UACGUAGGGUGCGAGCGUUAAUCGGAAUUACUGGGCGUAAGGCGUGCGCAGGCGGUUUUGUAAGCCAGAUGUGAAAUCCCCGGGCUCAACCUGGGAACUGCAUUUGGGACUGCAAGGCUAGAGUACGGCAGAGGGGGGUAGAAUUCCUGGUGUAGCAGUGAAAUGCGUAGAUAUCAGGAGGAAUACCGAUGGCGAAGGCAGCCCCCUGGGUCGAUACUGACGCUCAUGCACGAAAGCGUGGGGAGCAAACAGG
rnacentral:rRNA from 1 species